AGUGCGGCGCUGUUUAAAGAUGGCGGCGGAGGAACCUCAGCAGCAGAAGCAGGAGCCGCUGGGCAGCGACUCCGAAGGUGUUAACUGUCUGGCCUAUGAUGAAGCCAUCAUGGCUCAGCAGGACCGAAUUCAGCAAGAGAUUGCUGUGCAGAACCCUCUGGUGUCAGAGCGGCUGGAGCUCUCGGUCCUAUACAAGGAGUAUGCUGAAGAUGACAACAUCUAUCAACAGAAGAUCAAGGACCUCCACAAAAAGUACUCGUACAUCCGCAAGACCAGGCCUGACGGCAACUGUUUCUAUCGGGCUUUCGGAUUCUCCCACUUGGAGGCACUGCUGGAUGACAGCAAGGAGUUGCAGCGGUGAGAAGGGUGGGCACUGGGCACCGAGGCAGGUGGGUGUCUACCUCCUCCCCGGGCGAGUAGGAUGUGUCUCGAGUAGGGUGUCUCCCUCCUUCCCGGGCGAUGGGCUGGACUCUGGCCUUGCCAGGCGGGGCAGUGCUGUCUCGGCCCUGGCGUCUGGGCUGGUCGAGGAGCCCAUGCUGGGCCCGCCUUUCCAUCCCACCCCCAGGUUCAAGGCUGUGUCUGCCAAGAGCAAGGAAGACCUGGUGUCCCAGGGCUUCACUGAAUUCACAAUUGAGGAUUUCCACAACACGUUCAUGGACCUGAUUGAGCAGGUGGAGAAGCAGACCUCUGUCGCCGACCUGCUGGCCUCCUUCAAUGACCAGAGCACCUCCGACUACCUUGUGGUCUACCUGCGGCUGCUCACCUCGGGCUACCUGCAGCGCGAGAGCAAGUUCUUCGAGCACUUCAUCGAGGGUGGACGGACUGUCAAGGAGUUCUGCCAGCAGGAGGUGGAGCCCAUGUGCAAGGAGAGCGACCACAUCCACAUCAUUGCGCUGGCCCAGGCCCUCAGCGUGUCCAUCCAGGUGGAGUACAUGGACCGCGGCGAGGGCGGCACCACCAAUCCGCACAUCUUCCCUGAGGGCUCCGAGCCCAAGGUCUACCUUCUCUACCGGCCUGGACACUACGAUAUCCUCUACAAAUAGGGCUGGCUCCAGCCCGCUGCUGCCCUGCUGCCCCCCUCUGCCAGGCGCUAGACAUGUACAGAGGUUUUUCUGUGGUUGUAAAUGGUCCUAUUUCACCCCCUUCUUCCUGUCACAUGACCCCCCCCCAUGUUUUAUUAAAGGGGGUGCUGGUGGUGAGCCGUGUGUGCGUGUCCCUGCUCUGCUGCCCGCCUGGCUGCUCUGUCUGCUGCCCCCUCCCCCCAGGUGGGUCCCCCUGCUUUUCACCUAUCUACUCCUGAGCUUCCCCAACAGGAGCAGGUUUGAGGGGCCAGGCCUCUUGGAGGCCCCUCCUGCUUCGUUGGGUUCUGCUUCCUUCCCUUCUUAGCUGGCUCAGGGGCUUCUAUGGGAUCCUGGAAGUUCCUUAGGGACUUGCCCAGGGUCCCAGGGCCACCCACACUUCAUCUGCUCCCUCAUAGGCCCCACCUCCACGUCCCGGCUGGGCCCCAGACCCCAGCUUCCUGCCCUCCACCGGGAGUCUGCAUGGUUGGGAGUCCUGGGUGGAGGGGCCUUUGUGAGGCUGGACCCGGCUCAGGGCAGGUGGAGGAGCUGGGCCUCCCACAGGGUGCCCGGGCAGUGCCAUCCUGGUGGGGGAGGGCAGCCUUCAAACGUGUGGGGUCUACAGUCCUCAGGUCUAGGCAGGGCUGCCGGUUCUCCACCUCCCCAUCCGCCCCAGGCCCCCUGCCUGUGCCUGCCUUGCACCCCCUCUGCUUGGGCCACGGUGUCUCUGCAUUGCCUGCCUUUUUGCCUUCACCUCUUUUCUUCCCCGCCCCCUGCACAUUCGGGGUCUCAGCCCCCAGGCUGUGAGCUCCUUGGGGGCAGGCCCUCAAUAAAUGUGAACUGCUGCUGCC